UGGGGAAUUUUGGACAAUGGGCGAAAGCCUGAUCCAGCAAUGCCGCGUGAGUGAAGAAGGCCUUCGGGUUGUAAAGCUCUUUUAGCCGGAAAGAAAGAGUUGCAAUGAAUAAUUGUGAUUUAUGACGGUACCGAAAGAAAAAGCACCGGCUAACUACGUGCCAGCAGCCGCGGUAAUACGUAGGGUGCGAGCGUUAAUCGGAAUUACUGGGCGUAAAGGGUGCGCAGGCGGUCUUGCAAGUCAGAUGUGAAAGCCCCGGGCUUAACCUGGGAAUUGCAUUUGAAACUGCAAGGCUAGAGUGCAGCAGAGGGGAGUGGAAUUCCAUGUGUAGCAGUGAAAUGCGUAGAGAUGUGGAAGAACACCGAUGGCGAAGGCAGCUCCCUGGGUUGACACUGACGCUCAUGCACGAAAGCGUGGGGAGCAAACA
rnacentral:rRNA from 1 species